rnacentral:tRNA from 1 species
CGCGGGGUGGAGCAGCCUGGUAGCUCGUCGGGCUCAUAACCCGGAGGUCGCAGGUUCAAAUCCUGCCCCCGCAA